rnacentral:rRNA from 1 species
ACUCCUACGGGAGGCAGCAGUGGGGAAUAUUGCACAAUGGGCGCAAGCCUGAUGCAGCAACGCCGUGUGAGUGAAGAAGGUUUUCGGAUCGUAAAACUCUGUCCUAAGGGAAGAAACAAAUGACGGUACCUUAGGAGGAACGCCCCGGCUAACUACGUGCCAGCAGCCGCGGUAAUACGGUAGGGGGCAAGCGUUAUCCGGAAUCACUGGGCGUAAAGGGUGCGUAGGCGGCUUAGCAAGCCAGGGGUGAAAGGCAUUGGCUCAACCAAUGUAAGCCUUUGGAACUGUUAAGCUUGAGUGCAGGAGAGGUAAGUGGAAUUCCUAGUGUAGAGGUGAAAUUCGUAGAUAUUAGGAGGAACACCAGUGGCGAAGGCGACUUACUGGACUGUAACUGACGCUGAUGCACGAAAGCGUGGGUAGCGAACAGGAUUAGAUACCCUGGUAGCACAGAG